CUGACGGUGCAGUAUCCUAGUCAGAGUGACCAUUUUCCAGGAAGGGCCUAAAAAUCCUUUGAAGGGCACAUCGAUGAAGUCCCUGGUGUCUGCUUUUUACGCCCAGUUUAGGGUGGAUGCUGGGGGUUAAGGAUCUCGGGCGCGCGACAACGGCAUGUCGCAUACGACCCGACUUCCGUGGAGACUUGAAGCUUGUGCGACGAGGGUAAAGAACCCCAGUUGGGGCCCUAUCGCGUACGACUCAGGUAUGAACCUGCAAUGCGGUGCACAGAAUCGUGUGCUGGGUGCAGCGUAGCCUGCCUUGCGUGGAUAUGCGGGGAAAGAUGACAGGCAUGGGCAGUUUACGGCCGUAACCGCCUGCGUCAAUGCUUCUGGAAACCAUAUCUGCAAAAGAGGCUAAGAUUAUGGACCAUUCUGCCGUGGAAAACACCUAGGCUGUCCGAAAGGGGCAGGCAGGGGAUUACAGUACGGUCUAAGUGGCAAUCGGGUAUCCAUUACCUGGCAACAGUUGGACGGACGGAUUAAAUGGAAACGGCCUGUGCGGCAACGGCAGGUUCUGUCCCGGUGAAAAACAACCCGACCUAAGCCGUAAGAUUUAUCCUGCCUGCUACCGUUUUAAAAAAAU
rnacentral:sRNA from 1 species